GUCAUCCUUGGAUUGUGAUU
rnacentral:miRNA from 1 species